rnacentral:rRNA from 1 species
AGAGUUUGAUCAUGGCUCAGGAUGAACGCUAGCUACAGGCUUAACACAUGCAAGUCGAGGGGCAGCAUUUUAGUUUGCUUGCAAACUAAAGAUGGCGACCGGCGCACGGGUGAGUAACACGUAUCCAACCUGCCGAUAACUCGGGGAUAGCCUUUCGAAAGAAAGAUUAANAUCCGAUAGUAUAUUAAAACCGCAUGGUUUUACUAUUAAAGAAUUUCGGUUAUCGAUGGGGAUGCGUUCCAUUAGUUGUUGGCGGGUAACGGCCCACCAAGACUACGAUGGAUAGGGGUUCUGAGAGGAAGGUCCCCCACAUUGGAACUGAGACACGGUCCAAACUCCGUACGGGAGGCAA